rnacentral:misc_RNA from 1 species
GGAAGAUGGGGAUUUGGUUUUUAGGGACAUUAGAAGUUUUAACUGAACUUUAUUAGGCAAGCAAUGAUGGCUUUUGUUGAAGAAUCUAAAUUUCCUUUGUGCUCAUGUAUUUAAAGCUAAAUAAUUUUAGUACAUGUGGCUUUUUUGAUGCCUAGCUUGGCCAUCAUCCAACUCAUUGGUGGAGGAGCAUUAUACAGGGGUGAGAGAUUUUGAAGGUGGGUCUUACUUGGUGAGUUGGGAAUGCAGACAACAACCAUAUUUGGAGUGAUGGAUGGCUUUUCAUGUUGGAGAAUGGUAAGCCUCAAGUUGUUAAUCAAUUCCCAGAGGAUGCAAAGGUUAGUUCUUUGUUUCUCU